rnacentral:lncRNA from 1 species
GCCGAUAUAAAUAGAAGCAUCGACAGAAGACAACACACACAACUCCAGAAACUCAAGCCAUCAAGCUUUUCUUAUUUCGUUUUACCUUUUGCUUAGGUAGAAUUUCCGUCUGUUACUUUAGUUUAUUUGCUCUGCUAGUUACAAUCUCAGUUACUUUAUCUUUCUUGUAGCCUAGUAUCGAUUUUGAAUUGUUCUCUUUGUUUUCUUUCAAACAACAGUUAAUAAUUUGCAGUCAUUCUAGUUUUCAGUUUCGUUGCUAUUAUCUUUUAUUUGCUCCUUAUUGUCUUUAUGCUUUACUUGUUUAAUCGUGUUAUUCAUAGUAGCUAUUAAUCUUAUAUUUACUCAUACUCUCACAACCACACCUAACUCACCCGACCUUCAGCCACCAAGUCCUUAAUCUAGAGGCAUCGAACCGCAGCCGAGAAUAAGUUCCUUCCUCGGCUAACGAUUGCUUGAUAAGUCAGAUCUACAUCCACUACACCUACAGUUGCACACUUGGCUUUCUGGCCGUGUGCUGGCACGCUCCG